AGUUAACCGCGCGCAAUACAAUGUAGAGCCUGUCCUUAAAGUGAAGUGCAUCUUGGCAUUUUGCGCUUGAAACAUUAAAUCGCGUUACAGAUUUUUUCAGAGAUGGAAAUAAACGGAACAUCGCAAAUAUUAUAGACCACCAACGCUGCAAGAGAUAAGUGGGAACAUUUACUACAUGGAUUCUUCUCGAUCGACUAGAGAGCAGUCGGUCGGCAGCUCUGACUCGGCACGUCUCUGGGCGCGCCCCGUCGGCCGGACCCGUUCCGGCA